ACUCCUACGGGAGGCAGCAGUGGGGAAUAUUGCACAAUGGGGGAAACCCUGAUGCAGCCAUGCCGCGUGUGUGAAGAAGGCCUUCGGGUUGUAAAGCACUUUCAGUAGGGAGGAAGGUAGUGUAGUUAACACCUGCAUUAUUUGACGUUACCUACAGAAGAAGCACCGGCUAACUCCGUGCCAGCAGCCGCGGUAAUACGGAGGGUGCGAGCGUUAAUCGGAAUUACUGGGCGUAAAGCGCAUGCAGGCGGCCUGUUAAGUCAGAUGUGAAAGCCCGGGGCUUAACCUCGGAAUUGCAUUUGAAACUGGCAGGCUAGAGUCUUGUAGAGGGGGUAGAAUUUCAGGUGUAGCGGUGAAAUGCGUAAGAGAUCUGAAGGAUACCAGUGGCGAAGGCGGCCCCUGGACAAAGACUGACGCUCAGAUGCGAAAGCGU
rnacentral:rRNA from 1 species